rnacentral:snRNA from 1 species
CAGAGAAUGAGCUGGCUGUAACACCUGCCGGCUCAUUGAUCACCAGGGAAGAUUUACUCAGCUGGCGGAGAAACUUUUGCUUUCAUUAACGAAUGCUUCAGGGAUGCCCUUUACAUGCUUGGCACGGUACUGGCUGGAAGGAGUCCCUCUUCUCCUUCACAACCUCUUGUUCCACGUCCCUCCUGAAGUUAUGCACUCAGCUGAAGAGAACAACCUUCCCAUAGAGAGAAGGCUCAGCCUUUGGCCAAUGGUAUUCAAGUAGCUGCCCUCCUUGCUGGAGUCUGUAAACAAGUUCUAUAGGGCGCACUUCCUCCUUUGAUGCCUUUCGAGAUGCAAUUAGGAGAGGCGCACGAAAUGACUAUCAUUGUCAAAGUCCCAGUAGUUU